rnacentral:rRNA from 1 species
AUUGAACGCUGGCGGCAGGCUUAACACAUGCAAGUUGAGCGGGGUGAUGGUGCUUGCACUAUCACUUAGCGGCGGACGGGUGAGUAAUGCUUAGGAAUCUGCCUAUUAGUGGGGGACAACAUCUCGAAAGGGAUGCUAAUACCGCAUACGUCCUACGGGAGAAAGCAGGGGAUCACUUGUGACCUUGCGCUAAUAGAUGAGCCUAAGUCGGAUUAGCUCGUUGGUGGGGUAAAGGCCUAACAAGGCGACGAUCUGUAGCGGGUCUGAGAGGAUGAUCCGCCACACUGGGACUGAGACACGGCCCAGACUCCUACGGGAGGCAGCAGUGGGGAAUAUUGGACAAUGGGGGGAACCCUGAUCCAGCCAUGCCGCGUGUGUGAAGAAGGCCUUAUGGUUGUAAAGCACUUUAAGCGAGGAGGAGGCUCUUUUGGUUAAUACCCAAGAUGAGUGGACGUUACUCGCAGAAUAAGCACCGGCUAACUCUGUGCCAGCCGCCGCGGUAA